rnacentral:misc_RNA from 1 species
GUGAAUCAUCAAAUUUUUGAACGCAAAUUGCGCUUCCUGGUAUCCCGGGUAGUAUGCCUGUUUUAGGGUCGGUAUUAACGAAAAAUCGGUUUGGUUGCAAAUUGUGACGUUUCCGGAGUUUGGGCUUAUCUUAACUUUUUUGGUUAAGGGGCUUAAAAUUGACCUUUUUUGCGCGUUUGUAGACGUACAUAAAUUUUUUUUUAUUCGUCUAUUCUUUAUUCCAAUUUCUUAUUAGAUGAGAUUACUUCGUAUGGCUUCGUUUCC